UAUGUUGUGAGAAAGCCUUUAAAC
rnacentral:piRNA from 1 species